GGAAAACUAGAUCACAGAGCCCUGGGGAAGGGCUGUGCUUGGCACAGAAAAGAAGUGAUCCUGUCAGCAGGCAGGAGAGAGGGACAUGGGUUCAGCACCCAGCAGCUCAGACGACAGCUCCUGAACAGAGCGAGGGGGCCAAGAGCACGCCUCACAUCAAGGGCACCUGGAUGCGAGAGGUGCAAGGAGAAGGCAGAACAGCGGAGGCUUUGUGGCAAGAUUCCUAAGUCCGGGAGAACCUCCGUCUAGCCAGAAGCCCAUUCCUUUGUCCCUUUCGGGGGCCCCAGACGGUGGGGAUCAUCCUGCCAGGACGUGUUAUAGGGUGCUGUUCUGGGCAUUGCCCGCCGUGCAGUGGACACAUCGGAACCUGACAGGCCUGAGUCUGCCUGCCACCCUGCUGUAUCCUUGCUGGGGACUCUGGCCUCUUACCCAAGCUCUCUGAGCCUUAGCUUCCUUGUCCGUAAAAUGGGCUAAUAAGUACUUACAUGCAGAGCCGUGAGGAUUAAGCAAGUCAGUAUUUGUACAAGUGCCUGACUCAUGGUGGGCUGGCGACAAAUGAUCGUUUUCAUUAUGAUAAUGGGGCCCUUGGUCUGGAAGGGCGUCUGGACGUGGGUGGUGGUUGGGGAUCAGGUAUGUCAGGCCAGCAAAUGUGCCCGCUGAGUGUACAGCCCAGGGCUUCUGUGGGAGAAGCAGAAAAGGCCCC
rnacentral:lncRNA from 1 species